rnacentral:tRNA from 1 species
GGCUCGUUGGUCUAGGGGUAUGAUUCUCGCUUUGGGUGCGAGAGGUCUAGGGUUCAAAUCCUGGACGAGCCC